rnacentral:tRNA from 1 species
GGACGGCUGGAUGAGAUCGGCAAUCGUUUGGCGUUGACGGCGCCAGCGAUGUCCGGGUCGAUUCCGGAGUUGUUUGCC